rnacentral:lncRNA from 1 species
AUACUGGGAUAUACUGGGGUGGUGGCAAUAGGAUAUACUGGGAGAGUGGUACUGGGAUACACUGGGAUACACUGGGGUGGUGGCAAUGGGAUACACUAGGAAGGAGGUACUGGGAUACACUGGGAUAUACUGGGAUGGUGAUACUGGGAUGUACUGGGAUGGACUGGGAUGGACUGGGAUGGACUGGGAUGGACUGGGAUGGACUGGGAUGGACUGGGAUGGACUGGGAUGUACUGGGAUAUACUGGGAUGGUGGCAAUGAGAUAUACUGGUAUACACUGCAAUAUACUGGGAGGGUGGUACUGGGAUACACUGGGAUAUACUGGGAUGGAGAUACUGGGAUAUACUGGGAUGGACUGGGAUACACUGGGAUGGUGGCACUGGGAUAUACUGGGACAUACUGGGAUACACUGGGAUGGUGGCACUGGGAUAUACUGGGACAUACUGGGAUAUACUGGGCUAUACUGGUAUGGUGGCACUGGGAGCUGCCUGUUUCUGCCCACCCCCACCCCAGGGUCCAUUUGGGGCCAUGGCAGCUCCACCCCACAGCGCUGCCCCACGGUGCCCCCCACCCCCGCCCUCCACAAAGGGCCCAUUGUGGGGCACCACGACCCCCCCCCACCCCACAACCACGCUAUAGGGCACAGUGACGUCAGUUGGGGGGGGGAGGUGGGGGCGGAUAAAGGGUCCCUUAUGGCCAUGGGGUGGGGGGGGCAUCAUUUGAGUGUCUCUAUGGCACAAUGUGCUUCUCCUGGGGGGGGGUCCCAUUUGUGUCCCCCCAUUGGGGCUGUCCUUAUGGGGUUCCCCAUUGUCUCCAUCCCUAUGGGGUGCUGUGAUAUGGGGGGGGGGCGGUUAUGGUGCUGUGCCCCCCCACUCAUCCCAAUGGCUUUGUGUGUGUCCCCCCCC